rnacentral:rRNA from 1 species
GGCAUGCGGCAGCUACCAUGCAGUCGAGCGGGCGAGGUUGCUUCGGUAACUGAGCUAGCGGCGGACGGGUGAGUAAUGCUUAGGAAUCUGCCUAUUAGUGGGGGACAACAUUCCGAAAGGAAUGCUAAUACCGCAUACGCCCUACGGGGGAAAGCAGGGGAUCUUCGGACCUUGCGCUAAUAGAUGAGCCUAAGUCAGAUUAGCUAGUUGGUGGGGUAAAGGCCUACCAAGGCGACGAUCUGUAGCGGGUCUGAGAGGAUGAUCCGCCACACUGGGACUGAGACACGGCCCAGACUCCUACGGGAGGCAGCAGUGGGGAAUAUUGGACAAUGGGCGGAAGCCUGAUCCAGCCAUGCCGCGUGUGUGAAGAAGGCCUUUUGGUUGUAAAGCACUUUAAGCGAGGAGGAGGCUACUUGGAUUAAUACUCUAGGAUAGUGGACGUUACUCGCAGAAUAAGCACCGGCUAACUCUGUGCCAGCAGCCGCGGUAAUACAGAGGGUGCGAGCGUUAAUCGGAUUUACUGGGCGUAAAGCGUGCGUAGGCGGCUUCUUAAGUCGGAUGUGAAAUCCCUGAGCUUAACUUAGGAAUUGCAUUCGAUACUGGGAAGCUAGAGUAUGGGAGAGGAUGGUAGAAUUCCAGGUGUAGCGGUGAAAUGCGUAGAGAUCUGGAGGAAUACCGAUGGCGAAGGCAGCCAUCUGGCCUAAUACUGACGCUGAGGUACGAAAGCAUGGGGAGCAAACAGGAUUAGAUACCCUGGUAGUCCAUGCCGUAAACGAUGUCUACUAGCCGUUGGGGCCUUUGAGGCUUUAGUGGCGCAGCUAACGCGAUAAGUAGACCGCCUGGGGGAGUACGGUCGCAAGACUAAAACUCAAAGGAAUUGACGGA